CUGGUCUUGGCGUCCAGGAACGCAUCAAGUUUCUAAAAGAGUGAAACAAUAUUUUGUGCACGUUCGAGCAGAGUCUAGAAGAAGUUUCCAAGGACAGGAAUCUAUAUUAUUAUGAAACUUCUAAGCAAGUCAAAUUUGAGUGCCGACUUACUGCGAGGGGUGGGUCGAUCGAGUGCGUGAGUGCGUGAGUUACCAAGAGAUGUGCACCUCACGGCGUACUAGAGCCGUUUGAGAGACCCGCCGGAGAAGGUCUCGAAGUCUUACAGCGAGUGAACGAGCACGACCGUGCACAUGUGUGCCGCUCGAGAAUCGAGAAUCGAGGAUCGGUGGUCGAAUAUCGAGAAUCGCGAAACGACGAUCGAGAAUUUUAGAUCGCCUUCGAUAUACCUUCACUUUUUUACACUCUCCAUUUAGAGUGCUCGUCGCUCUUUGUAUUAUUUUUUAUGGUGGGAUUUUUAUUUUUUUACGUUUUUCGGGUCUCGUCUGUCUGACUACGUAUCUAUGGAUCUACUGCACUCUCGCGACCACUGCUGCAAUGAGAACUCGUACAGGACUUUUUAUAGGUUUGUUAGGUAUACUGGCGGCCAAUGUCAUGGAGUAUUGAAUAUCUGAAAUUAACUAUACACUUGCAUAGUCGAUUAAGUAAUUUUUAAAAAUGUCUAAUUGAAACAUCCCUUUAAUGUACUGUGAUUGGAAAAUCCAUUAGCGGACUAAGUAAAUUGUAUAAUCUGGUUGACAAGCAACGUGGCAAUUUAGAUGCCACUUAACGAAAAAACGUAUAAGAAAAUUUCGCGUGCGUUCUUAAAAACUGGAUUUGUAAAAUUUUGAGAUUUGCCAGUAACCUGCAUUCUGAUCUCAUGUGACAUGCGAGCUGCCGAUUCUAGCUUAGAGAACCAGAUUCUUUGAAAUUGCCAUUUAAAGUUUCUCCAUAGCCGAAGCAAGAUGAUUAUACGUGGACACGUGUAGAUACAGUCGUCUUUAUGUAUUACGUGAUGUCACAAGAAAUAAAGAUCUUUUUAUAUGCCUAGUGACUCUCUUAACCCACAUCAAUAUAUAGAAAAAACAGGUAACGUUUGAUUUUGUAUGAAUCGACGCUUAUUAACAUACUCAAUCAGCUAUAUAUUAUGCGUCAAAAUUGGUGAAUAUUUUUAUAAUGAUUCUUUGUCGCAAGAAACCAGCUUGAUAAGGUUCUACAACUUUGAUAGUUUUAUAUGUGAAAUUUUUAAAGACCGAUUCCAAUCAGUACUAUGAUUCUUAUUACACAAACAAGCGAUGUCACGUGGUUUAAGGCAUUUUUUGAGAAACUAAAUAUAUACAGUUUCAAUCAUUUUAAAAAUUUGUCGUGUAACAAAAACAAAUGACGAAAGAGAAAGUGUAGGAGAUUUCGUAUUUACUAUUACUUGUCUUUCAUUUCUUAAUAUGUUUUCCAAUUAACCUUAUCCGAAUUGCUAUUAAGAGUCCUAUGAAUAUCAAUAUACGACGAAUUGUCUAAGCAGUAUCUAUAGAAAGGAUUAUAAGGAUCGAUUACUUAUCAACGUAUACGAACUAUGAAGCUUUCACGGGAGCGAUGGAGAAAUAUUCGAGUUUUAAUAAUUCGAUAAAAAAAUUCAGAGAUAAAAAUUCAAGUCACACUUUACUCUUUUUCCUACAAAUCUCCUUCCUGUUCUAGACUCAUUCGUUCAACUAACUUGGUCAACUUUACGUUUACGUUUAAUUUCCUUUGACAGUCAACGUUGAGAAACGUAGAAAUCGCAUUUGCAUUCCUUACCGGUAGAUGGCCAGACUACUUGAGUCAAAAGCAAAGAGAAAAAACGAACGUAAAAUUAAAACGAAAAUAACAAUGAAUUAAU